rnacentral:rRNA from 1 species
AGAUAUCAGGAGGAACACCGAUGGCGAAGGCAGGUCUCUGGGCAUUAACUGACGCUGAGGAGCGAAAGCAUGGGGAGCGAACAGGAUUAGAUACCCUGGUAGUCCAUGCCGUAAACGUUGGGCACUAGGUGUGGGGGACAUUCCACGUUUUCCGCGCCGUAGCUAACGCAUUAAGUGCCCCGCCUGGGGAGUACGGCCGCAAGGCUAAAACUCAAAGGAAUUGACGGGGGCCCGCACAAGCGGCGGAGCAUGCGGAUUAAUUCGAUGCAACGCGAAGAACCUUACCAAGGCUUGACAUGGGCCGGAUCGCCGCAGAAAUGUGGUUUCCCCUUUGGGGCCGGUUCACAGGUGGUGCAUGGUUGUCGUCAGCUCGUGUCGUGAGAUGUUGGGUUAAGUCCCGCAACGAGCGCAACCCUCGUUCUAUGUUGCCAGCGCGUUAUGGCGGGGACUCAUAGGAGACUGCCGGGGUCAACUCGGAGGAAGGUGGGGACGACGUCAAAUCAUCAUGCCCCUUAUGUCUUGGGCUUCACGCAUGCUACAAUGGCCGGUACAAAGGGUUGCGAUACUGUGAGGUGGAGCUAAUCCCAAAAAGCCGGUCUCAGUUCGGAUUGGGGUCUGCAACUCGACCCCAUGAAGUCGGAGUCGCUAGUAAUCGCAGAUCAGCAACGCUGCGGUGAAUACGUUCCCGGGCCUUGUACACACCGCCCGUCAAGUCACGAAAGUUGGUAACACCCGAAGCCGGUGGCCUAACCCCUUGUGGGAGGGAGCUGUCGAAGGUGGGACUGGCGAUUGGACUAAGU